CCACUGUUGAGGAGUCCCAUACUAGGACGAAAUGAUCGUCCAGUGC
rnacentral:hammerhead_ribozyme from 1 species